UACGUAGGGGGCUAGCGUUGUCCGGAUUUAUUGGGCGUAAAGAGCGUGUAGGCGGCCAGGUAGGUCUGGUGUGAAAACUCGAGGCUUAACCUCGAGAUGUCAUCGGAAACCAUUUGGCUAGAGUCCGGAAGAGGAGAGUGGAAUUCCUGGUGUAGCGGUGAAAUGCGCAGAUAUCAGGAAGAACACCAAUGGCGAAAGCACUCUGCUGGGCCGACACUGACACUGAGAGACGAAAGCUAGGGGAGCAAAUGGG
rnacentral:rRNA from 1 species